CGCGUAGGCGGUUUGGUAAGUUGGAUGUGAAAACUCUGGGCUUAACCCAGAGCCUGCAUCCAAAACUGGCAAGCUGGAGUUUUGGAGGGGGAAGCGGAAUUCCUGGUGUAGCAGUGAAAUGCGUAGAUAUCAGGAGGAACACCGGUGGCGAAGGCGGCUUCCUGGACAAAAACUGACGCUGAGGCGCGAAAGCUAGGGGAGCAAACA
rnacentral:rRNA from 1 species